GAAGAACGCAGCGAAAUGCGAUACGUAGUGUGAAUUGCAGAAUUCCGCGAAUCAUUGAGUUUUUGAACGCAAGUUGCGCCCGAGGCUCGUCCGAGGGCAUUUCCGUUAGAGCGUCACC
rnacentral:rRNA from 2 species